GACGAACGCUGGCGGCGUGCUUAACACAUGCAAGUCGAACGGAAAGGCCCUUUCGGGGGUACUCGAGUGGCGAACGGGUGAGUAACACGUGGGUGAUCUGCCCUGCACUUUGGGAUAAGCCUGGGAAACUGGGUCUAAUACCGAAUACACCCUGCUGGUCGCAUGGCCUGGUAGGGGAAAGCUUUUGCGGUGUGGGAUGGGCCCGCGGCCUAUCAGCUUGUUGGUGGGGUGAUGGCCUACCAAGGCGACGACGGGUAGCCGGCCUGAGAGGGUGACCGGCCACACUGGGACUGAGAUACGGCCCAGACUCCUACGGGAGGCAGCAGUGGGGAAUAUUGCACAAUGGGCGCAAGCCUGAUGCAGCGACGCCGCGUGAGGGAUGACGGCCUUCGGGUUGUAAACCUCUUUCAGCACAGACGAAGCGCAAGUGACGGUAUGUGCAGAAGAAGGACCGGCCAACUACGUGCCAGCAGCCGCGGUAAUACGUAGGGUCCGAGCGUUGUCCGGAAUUACUGGGCGUAAAGAGCUCGUAGGUGGUUUGUCGCGUUGUUCGUGAAAACUCACAGCUUAACUGUGGGCGUGCGGGCGAUACGGGCAGACUAGAGUACUGCAGGGGAGACUGGAAUUCCUGGUGUAGCGGUGGAAUGCGCAGAUAUCAGGAGGAACACCGGUGGCGAAGGCGGGUCUCUGGGCAGUAACUGACGCUGAGGAGCGAAAGCGUGGGGAGCGAACAGGAUUAGAUACCCUGGUAGUCCACGCCGUAAACGGUGGGUACUAGGUGUGGGUUUCCUUCCUUGGGAUCCGUGCCGUAGCUAACGCAUUAAGUACCCCGCCUGGGGAGUACGGCCGCAAGGCUAAAACUCAAAGGAAUUGACGGGGGCCCGCACAAGCGGCGGAGCAUGUGGAUUAAUUCGAUGCAACGCGAAGAACCUUACCUGGGUUUGACAUGCACAGGACGCCGGCAGAGAUGUCGGUUCCCUUGUGGCCUGUGUGCAGGUGGUGCAUGGCUGUCGUCAGCUCGUGUCGUGAGAUGUUGGGUUAAGUCCCGCAACGAGCGCAACCCUUGUCUCAUGUUGCCAGCACGUUAUGGUGGGGACUCGUGAGAGACUGCCGGGGUCAACUCGGAGGAAGGUGGGGAUGACGUCAAGUCAUCAUGCCCCUUAUGUCCAGGGCUUCACACAUGCUACAAUGGCCGGUACAAAGGGCUGCGAUGCCGUGAGGUGGAGCGAAUCCUUUCAAAGCCGGUCUCAGUUCGGAUCGGGGUCUGCAACUCGACCCCGUGAAGUCGGAGUCGCUAGUAAUCGCAGAUCAGCAACGCUGCGGUGAAUACGUUCCCGGGCCUUGUACACACCGCCCGUCACGUCAUGAAAGUCGGUAACACCCGAAGCCGGUGGCCUAACCCUUGUGGAGGGAGCCGUCGAAGGUGGGAUCGGCGAUUGGG
rnacentral:rRNA from 1 species